ensembl:lncRNA LINC01127 long intergenic non-protein coding RNA 1127
AGGCAGUUGAGAUUAAUCUACAGGAGGAGGAGAAGAAUCAUCCACACCACUCUUCGCCACCCGGCUGGGAGCAAUUCCAGAAGGCAGGGUCUGCUUGGGCAGUUGAGAGGCCUUGGGUCAUGCCGCUUAUUGAAACCAUCAGCAGGAGGAGUUUGGAUAAAGCUGAAGUUCCACUUAGGCGCUCGGUGAUCCAUCUGGGAAGACAGUGGCCACAGCCCAACAGGAGGCCGGGGAACCUGGACCCCACCAGCCAAGCUUUGAGAAGCAGAUAGGCUUGAAUGAGCAUGGAAUGUAUCUAUUUAAAAAGCAGCUGGAAGUCUGUCAAGUGCAUUCUGGAAAUGGAUUCAGGCUAACAGAGUGUUCUGAAUAGAGACGCCUAAAACAAGAGCCAAAGACAUAGCAAUGGAGAACGUGGGUGGUACAGCCCUCCACCCUGGCGAGCAGCACAUUAGAAUCACGUAGGAGCUUAAAAAGUACUGACUGGCCUGGUCUUUUUCGGUGUGAAGGCAAUUGGACCACCCAAAUGGCAAACUAAAAGCAUAGAAGCGGACACCAGAGGCUCCUGGACCUGAGAUGUGGCCCUGGAAGUGACCAGAUGUGGUCUCAAGAGAUGGGGGCCCAGGGCUAGGAAUGCCGCCAUCCGGGGAGGCCCUAGAGCAGAGCAGAGCAGCUGUGGGCUGGUGCCAAGCUCACUCCUGCUUCUCUCUGCACGUCUCCCUCAUUCUUUUCUCUCUGAACUGUGACCCUUUUGGCCCCUCUGAGUACCAGGUGGGACAAGGUGACCCCUCAGCACUUGAGUUUACACCUUAGAUGUGUAGGUCCUCACAGAGGCCAACUUAUCUCCUUCUGGGACCAAAUUCCAAAUUCCUAAAGAAAAAACAAACCAAAAACGGAUAUGAUAAAC